GACGAACCGUGCGAACGUUGUUCGGAAUCACUGGGCUUAAAGGGCGCGUAGGCGGGCUAUCAAGUCUGGGGUGAAGUCCCGCGGCUCAACCGUGGAACUGCCUUAGAUACUGACGGCCUUGAGGAAGGUAGGGGCAUGCGGAACUGUAGGUGGAGCGGUGAAAUGCGUUGAUAUCUACAGGAACGCCGGUGGCGAAAGCGGCGUGCUGGACCUUUUCUGACGCUGAGGCGCGAAAGCUAGGGGAGCAAACGGG
rnacentral:rRNA from 1 species